GAUGAACGCUGGCGGCGUGCUUAACACAUGCAAGUCGAACGCACCUUCGGGUGAGUGGCGGACGGGUGAGUAACGCGUGGGAACCUGCCCUCAGGAGGGGGAUAACGGCUGGAAACGGCCGCUAAUACCCCAUAUGCCGAGAGGUGAAAUGAAAUUCGCCUGAGGAUGGGCCCGCGUCUGAUUAGCUAGUUGGUGGGGUAAGAGCCUACCAAGGCGACGAUCAGUAGCUGGUCUGAGAGGAUGAUCAGCCACACUGGGACUGAGACACGGCCCAGACUCCUACGGGAGGCAGCAGUGGGGAAUUUUCCGCAAUGGGCGAAAGCCUGACGGAGCAACGCCGCGUGAGGGAUGAAGGCCUCUGGGCUGUAAACCUCUUUUCUCAAGGAAGAAGAACUGACGGUACUUGAGGAAUAAGCCACGGCUAAUUCCGUGCCAGCAGCCGCGGUAAUACGGGAGUGGCAAGCGUUAUCCGGAAUUAUUGGGCGUAAAGCGUCCGCAGGUGGCCUUGUAAGUCUGUCGUUAAAGCGUGGAGCUUAACUCCAUUUCGGCGAUGGAAACUACAAGGCUAGAGUGUGGUAGGGGCAGAGGGAAUUCCCGGUGUAGCGGUGAAAUGCGUAGAUAUCGGGAAGAACACCAGUGGCGAAGGCGCUCUGCUGGGCCAUCACUGACACUCAUGGACGAAAGCCAGGGGAGCGAAAGGGAUUAGAUACCCCUGUAGUCCUGGCCGUAAACGAUGAACACUAGGUGUCGGGGGAAUCGACCCCCUCGGUGUCGUAGCCAACGCGUUAAGUGUUCCGCCUGGGGAGUACGCACGCAAGUGUGAAACUCAAAGGAAUUGACGGGGGCCCGCACAAGCGGUGGAGUAUGUGGUUUAAUUCGAUGCAACGCGAAGAACCUUACCAGGGUUUGACAUCCUGCGAAUCCCUUGGAAACGAGGGAGUGCCUUCGGGAGCGCAGAGACAGGUGGUGCAUGGCUGUCGUCAGCUCGUGUCGUGAGAUGUUGGGUUAAGUCCCGCAACGAGCGCAACCCACGUCGUUAGUUGCCAGCAUUCAGUUGGGCACUCUAGCGAGACCGCCGGUGAUAAACCGGAGGAAGGUGUGGAUGACGUCAAGUCAUCAUGCCCCUUACAUCCUGGGCUACACACGUACUACAAUGCUACGGACAAAGGGCAGCGAGCUCGCGAGAGUAAGCAAAUCCCAUAAACCGUGGCUCAGUUCAGAUCGUAGGCUGCAACUCGCCUACGUGAAGGAGGAAUCGCUAGUAAUCGCAGGUCAGCAUACUGCGGUGAAUACGUUCCCGGGCCUUGUACACACCGCCCGUCACACCAUGGAAGUUGGCCACGCCCGAAGUCGUUACUCCAACCCUUGUGGAGGAGGACGCCGAAGGUGGGGCUGAUGACUGGGGUGAA
rnacentral:rRNA from 1 species